CAGUCAAGACAGAACACGGAGGGGGGAGACGAAUAAACAGACGAAUAAACAGGAUAAAAGAUGUUUGACCGGUGCGUGUUGUGUUUGUCGUAUCCAAUGGCAGGAGAGACGAUGACCUGCUGCGUGUCUCACGGUCUCCAUAAUGGACAUUAGACACAAAGGAAAUAUUUAAUAUCCUCCAGACAUCAAGCAUUUGGUUGGUUUCACCUGAAGGCUCCCCGAGGACGGCCAGAAGCCGCGCUAUAGGCGCUGACGGAUAUUCAAACAGACGGGCUUUCUGCCGAACGCCUCCAAUUCUUUAAAAAAGGACCCCACAUCAGAAGCCAACGCCCGCUGUCCUUGAAACUCUGGCUCGACUUCCACAAAUCCUGUUAUUGUCGGGUCACGAUAGACUCGAACCGUGCCAAAACUUCAGCAAAGAGGCGUCGACGAGGAUCUCGAUACAUUGUCUGUGAAAGCCGUGCUAUGCUACAUCUCUGGUUUUAUGCUGGAGCCAAAAGAGUUUCCAGAUUGAACUGGGAUUUCUGGUCCCCGGGCAAAUGAGCGCUGUCAAACAGCUGUUAAAAGUCUUCAAUUCCUAGGAGCGAGGCGGCGACAGACUUGUCUAUAUGUUUGAAUUAAAUCCUGCGCCUGCCUGUUUAUCUCGGCAUGAAAGAGCUCGACGGGGACCUGGGGCCUGUGGAUUUGAGGCUUCGGGUGGCUUUCACAAAGCCUGAACAGAAAUGAAAGGCUAACAGAAGAGAAAUGGAGAGAGAGUCUUCUCUAGUUGCGAGGAGCCAAAGUUGAGUCGCGCACAAUGGAUUCGGGUGGAUUAUUACUCCGGUGUUGUGCUUCGAUUCUGGUAGGAUGGGAAGGUGAACUUCCCAGGAGGAAACGUGAGGGUUUUCAGCUUGCAAGCACUUCCUGUAUCUAUAACCAACUGCUUCUUAAUGGACCCUUUUUUUCAGGGUUCCCAGAAGUGGAAGUCGUCACAGUUGGGAACCUUCUAUAGUGGUGUACAGUGUACAGUGCAUGCUGAAUUAUUAUGUGAGCUAAUAUUCUGAUCAUAUUCUUUUCCAAGCACAUUUGACCAAUUCAAACCACAUUAAUCUUAAUAACUACUUAAAAUUUUGUAUUGAAUCAUUUAUAAGUGAUAUAAUUAUCCAUGAAGGCAGGAACUGACUUCUUCCGACUCAUCUUGGGUCAGCAGGGUUAGAAAAAAAAAAAAGGUGAUGAAUUAGAUGUAAAACCUUAAAGAAGAAUUUGGUCUCCAGUGCCACCAUUUUCCAAAACUGCCACCUGGAGUCU